UACGUAGGGUGCGAGCGUUAAUCGGAAUUACUGGGCGUAAAGCGUGCGCAGGCGGUGCUGUAAGACAGGCGUGAAAUCCCCGGGCUUAACCUGGGAAUGGCGCUUGUGACUGCAAGGCUAGAGUACGGCAGAGGGGGAUGGAAUUCCGCGUGUAGCAGUGAAAUGCGUAGAUAUGCGGAGGAACACCAAUGGCGAAGGCAAUCCCCUGGGCCUGCACUGACGCUCAUGCACGAAAGCGUGGGGAGCAAACAGG
rnacentral:rRNA from 1 species